GACGAACGCUGGCGGCGUGCCUAAUACAUGCAAGUAGAACGCUGAAGAGAGGAGCUUGCUCUUCUUGGAUGAGUUGCGAACGGGUGAGUAACGCGUAGGUAACCUGCCUUGUAGCGGGGGAUAACUAUUGGAAGCGAUAGCUAAUACCGCAUAACAAUGGAUGACACAUGUCAUUUAUUUGAAAGGGGCAAUUGCUCCACUACAAGAUGGACCUGCGUUGUAUUAGCUAGUAGGUGAGGUAACGGCUCACCUAGGCGACGAUACAUAGCCGACCUGAGAGGGUGAUCGGCCACACUGGGACUGAGACACGGCCCAGACUCCUACGGGAGGCAGCAGUAGGGAAUCUUCGGCAAUGGGGGCAACCCUGACCGAGCAACGCCGCGUGAGUGAAGAAGGUUUUCGGAUCGUAAAGCUCUGUUGUAAGUCAAGAACGAGUGUGAGAGUGGAAAGUUCACACUGUGACGGUAGCUUACCAGAAAGGGACGGCUAACUACGUGCCAGCAGCCGCGGUAAUACGUAGGUCCCGAGCGUUGUCCGGAUUUAUUGGGCGUAAAGCGAGCGCAGGCGGUUUGAUAAGUCUGAAGUUAAAGGCUGUGGCUCAACCAUAGUUCGCUUUGGAAACUGUCAAACUUGAGUGCAGAAGGGGAGAGUGGAAUUCCAUGUGUAGCGGUGAAAUGCGUAGAUAUAUGGAGGAACACCGGUGGCGAAAGCGGCUCUCUGGUCUGUAACUGACGCUGAGGCUCGAAAGCGUGGGGAGCGAACAGGAUUAGAUACCCUGGUAGUCCACGCCGUAAACGAUGAGUGCUAGGUGUUGGAUCCUUUCCGGGAUUCAGUGCCGCAGCUAACGCAUUAAGCACUCCGCCUGGGGAGUACGACCGUAAGGUUGAAACUCAAAGGAAUUGACGGGGGCCCGCACAAGCGGUGGAGCAUGUGGUUUAAUUCGAAGCAACGCGAAGAACCUUACCAGGUCUUGACAUCCCGAUGCUAUUUCUAGAGAUAGAAAGUUACUUCGGUACAUCGGUGACAGGUGGUGCAUGGUUGUCGUCAGCUCGUGUCGUGAGAUGUUGGGUUAAGUCCCGCAACGAGCGCAACCCCUAUUGUUAGUUGCCAUCAUUCAGUUGGGCACUCUAGCGAGACUGCCGGUAAUAAACCGGAGGAAGGUGGGGAUGACGUCAAAUCAUCAUGCCCCUUAUGACCUGGGCUACACACGUGCUACAAUGGUUGGUACAACGAGUUGCGAGUCGGUGACGGCAAGCUAAUCUCUUAAAGCCAAUCUCAGUUCGGAUUGUAGGCUGCAACUCGCCUACAUGAAGUCGGAAUCGCUAGUAAUCGCGGAUCAGCACGCCGCGGUGAAUACGUUCCCGGGCCU
rnacentral:rRNA from 1 species